rnacentral:rRNA from 1 species
UACGGAGGAUCCAAGCGUUAUCCGGAUUUAUUGGGUUUAAAGGGUGCGUAGGCGGACCCAUAAGUCAGUGGUGAAAGUUUGCAGCUUAACUGUAAAAUUGCCGUUGAAACUGUGGGUCUUGAGUGUAAAUAAAGUAGGCGGAAUGUGUUGUGUAGCGGUGAAAUGCUUAGAUAUAACACAGAACACCAAUUGCGAAGGCAGCUUACUGGGAUACAACUGACGCUGAGGCACGAAAGCGUGGGGAUCAAAC